UAUUACGUAGGGCCAAAGGUGAUGAGGUACAAACAUGUUUUAGCUUGAAGAGAGGCAUGCUAAGAAAGAGCCGCGACUCAGGAAUGUGAUCUCGGGAAGUUAAGCGGAACAAUUUGGUUUGGCUGCAUGCGUGAUGACACAUCCGAUGGUCGCUCGAGUGCUACGCUGAAACAGAGGAAUCCUUGGGGUGUUUGAUGUAUGCGGAGAAGACAUUCUUGAGGAACGCCUCCGAAUAUUUGAGCAGACACUUCCAUAUCUGAUUGGGACAACUAGACAGAAGCACAGAUGAGGGAGCAGUGCCACUUGGCUCCGAACUUCACACCAGCCUGAAUGCAAUGCGGACGAUAUGGCUCGGUGGCAGACUCACCAUGGAGGCCAUGUUGUUGCCGGUCUCCAUGGCCACAGCAGAGUAUUGAUCAGAGGGCAUCGCUGUCGCUGUGGCCGAUGGUGGUGACGACCCCUUCUCAAACCUGUCAGUCAAGCAAUCAAACCAGAGUGGCCGCAACAACGUGGAGAGGCCAAGGAAGGAUGGAGGACGAAGAGGGGCCCAUCAAGGGAUGGGGGGCAUCCAUAGAAAGGGAAUGGGGGGGCCCCACAUCAAAGUUUGCUGGCUGGAGAUUAUGGAGGCGAUUGUUCACUUCCUAAACGUGAGUGCGUGUGUGCAGAAUUCAAUUUGUGUGUGUGUGUGUGUGUGUGUGUGUCAGGGGGGCUUGGGUUCUCGUUGGGGCCACAUUCCUCAUCAGCCAUGUACUUUGGGAUCACUUUAUGGUCGGUCAACUCCACAAAAUGGCAGACAUUCUUCAUGCAGGCGUGCCACGUGACUCUGCCGAGCAAAAACAUACUUCCUGCAUCUGUGUCACAUGGGCGUGAAGCCCCGCCCCCUUUACACAGUCUUAAAUCUCAUUUAGCUGAGGUUGAAAAAAGAAAUUGGAUGUAUUUGUAGUUGGCCAUGUGUCUACUGCAUGUACCACAUGUAAAGAGCCGCUACACCUGUGUACCACUAUAUUAAUGAGGAACAAUAGCAGUUGAUAAUAUACUUCAUUAAAACAGACAGUCAAAUUCCAGUGUAAUUACAUAUAAUUCUGUCACAAUGCAUUCAUUGAAUUACGAUUGUGCUACCUCUUCUAGUGUGCCCAUGUUGGCCACCUCGGGUUAAUAAGACAGAUAGUACACAGAUUCAUUGAGACACAUCAGCUCUUCUCACCUCGUCAGUGCAACACUAAUAUUAGUUGUUCUUUGCAGAGGAUAUGAUUGUGAGAGCUGUUACGUUAUCUACUGUGUUCCUGCAAGGUU